rnacentral:rRNA from 1 species
GACGAACGCUGGCGGCGUGCUUAACACAUGCAAGUCGAACGGAAAGGCCCUGCUUUUGUGGGGUGCUCGAGUGGCGAACGGGUGAGUAACACGUGAGUAACCUGCCCUUGACUUUGGGAUAACUUCAGGAAACUGGGGCUAAUACCGGAUAGGAGCUCCUGCUGCAUGGUGGGGGUUGGAAAGUUUCGGCGGUUGGGGAUGGACUCGCGGCUUAUCAGCUUGUUGGUGGGGUAGUGGCUUACCAAGGCUUUGACGGGUAGCCGGCCUGAGAGGGUGACCGGGCACAUUGGGACUGAGAUACGGCCCAGACUCCUACGGGAGGCAGCAGUGGGGAAUAUUGCACAAUGGGCGGAAGCCUGAUGCAGCAACGCCGCGUGCGGGAUGACGGCCUGCGGGUUGUAAACCGCUUUAGCCUGUGCCGAAGCGUGAGUGACGGUAAUGGGUAAAGAAGCACCGGCUAACUACGUG